rnacentral:lncRNA from 1 species
CUCGGGGCUGGGCUCAGUGUGACAGCUGGGCCACAUGCCUGCCAUUCCCUGCAGCAUGCUCAUCCUCUUGAUAUAGGGUCCCAUUGGCUGCCCAGCCAGCAAGGCCUUGGGCUCUGGGACCAGGCACCCUGCUGCUUUUAGGGCAAGGCCAGCGGGGACAGGCUAGGACAGGCGUCAGCUUUCUUUCUCUCCUUGCAUGGCCAGGGCCUGCAGUCUGCUUUCUGAUUUGUGUGUAUUAUUAGGUCCCAGGGAUUCCUGCAGCCUGGGUGAGCCUCAGAGGGUGGAGCCCUCCUGGAUUCCCACCCCACUCUGUGGAGGAACUGUAUCCCGGGACCUGAGCUCUGUCCAGGGUCCUCAGCCCCGCUGAGAGAGACCGGGCCCACUGCCUCGUUCCAGGCAGAAUGAAGAAGGUACCUUUUCUCAUCCCCACUGUCCCUGAGACCACGUGACCUGGCUUGCUCAGAUGUCCCUCCCACAACCUGCACCUGGUGGCUCCUUUCCGUUCUCCAGAUUCUCCUCCCUCAUGCUGGCAAGGGCCUAACAGCCUUCUCCCCUUGGUAACAGAUGGGCGAGUUUACCAGGAAGCACAUUUGGAGGGAAAAGAAGCUGUAUCUCAGUCCUCUCAUCAACAGCUACUAUGAUCUCAAGAGAGCUGCACUGCCCACAGUGGAGACUCCACAAAUCCCAGCUAAAUCCUCCAAGACGACUCGAUCGUGGAAUCCCAAUGAAGAAUGCAGUGGGUUGCUUAUGAGCAGGAGCUCAUGCCACAUCCUCUCCAGAGGUGGAAGCCGAGAGCGCUGCCCUGGCUGUGGGGUGGCCCUGGCUGGGAGAGGAACCUUAGGAGGGCAUUCUGUGUGGAUUUGUGUCACCGCCCUUUUCAUCCAUGACUCCAAGAAGGAGCUGCAAGCACCACAGGCUCCAGAUCUUCAGAUGUGGCCUGAAAGCGUUUCGUGCCUGCAGUCUCAGCUACUCGGGAGGCUGAGGAGGGAGGCACUUCAGGCCAGGAGUUUGAGGCUGCAGUGAGUUAGUGUCACACCGCUGCAUUCUAGCCUGGGUGACAGAGUGAGACCUCAUUUCUUUUUUUUUUUUUUCCUAGCUAGCUUCAGGAGGGAACUGAUUUCCAACACAAACAAAACAGCUGUGGAGGAUGCACCUGCUGGUAGCCCCCUCCCCCCACUUUGCCAUGUUCUGCCCACUGGGGUCUCUUUCAGACCCUCAAACAAGCAACCUCUUUCCUGCCCUGGGGCCUUUGCACAGCUGCUCCCUCUGCCCGUGGGUCCUGACCUUCCUCUUGUCUGGGCAACCUUCCCACCGUUCGGAGAUCAGCUGAAGCAUCUCCUUUCAGAGAGGCUGUUUUAAGGACCCAGGAUUUGGUUCCUCAGGUCUGGUGAGACACAAGAGCACAGGGAUGACUGUCACAAAGGAGGAAGUUUAUAUGAACACGUCCCUAGAAACAGAGCCACACUGGGAGGCCCCAGGUGGGUCAGGAGGCAGAUGGGGAGUGAGGAAGUGGUGGGCAAGAGCCUUUGCUGUGAUUUCCAUGGGAAGGAACAAGGGGGGCAGGGUAAGCAGGCUGAGGAUGGGCUAGUUUGGGUCAUCUGAGGGCUGUGGGGCAUACGGUCUGUCUCUAGCUGUCUGGUACCUGGGGUGAUUAGGGAAGGAGACAGUGGCCCAGAGUGUGAGAGCCCCAUAGAGGAUGUGAUUGGGGAGUUGUCUCUGGAUGGGUUGGUUUGCAUUUGAAAGGGUUGUUCACUAGAAGGAGCUGCUUACUCUCGCAAGGAAUUGACUCACCCGGGAGGGGCAGUCCCCUCCAGGAUCAGCAAGACCCCAGAUAAAAUGCAUCAGAAGUAUCACAAACAAAAGGCAUGCUUAAUACAGAGAUCUUCCCACCAGCACUCCGCAUCUGUAUAAUGUCAGUUUUCCUUCACUAGAACACAAGUUCUGGAGGAAUGGGCCACAGGUGUGUUUACUAAUGCUUCCCUAGUGUUACCUAGUUACCGUCUGGAACUUUGUAGAUGCCCAAUAAAACAAAA